GCCUAACACAUGCAAGUCGAACGAGGGUGGAGCAAUCCAUUCCUAGUGGCGGACGGGUGAGGAACGCGUAAGAACCUACCUUUUGGAUGGGAACAACUUCUGGAAACGGAAGCUAAUACUCAAUAUGCUGAGGAGCGAAAGAUGGAAACAUCACCAAAAGACGGGCUUGCGUCUGAUUAGCUAGUUGGUGAGGUAAUGGCUCACCAAGGCGAUGAUCAGUAGUUGGUCUGAGAGGACGAUCAACCACACUGAAACUGAGAAACGGUUCAGACUUCUACGGAAGGCAGCAGUGAGGAAUUUUCCGCAAUGGGCGAAAGCCUGACGGAGCAAUCCCGCGUGAAGGAUGAAGGUCUGCGGAUCGUAAACUUCUUUUCUUCGUGACGAAUUUUGACGGUAGCGAAGGAAUCAGCAUCGGCUAACUCUGUGCCAGCAGCCGCGGUAAGACAGAGGAUGCAAGCGUUAUCCGGAUUGAUUGGGCGUAAAGCGUUCGUAGGUGGCUUUCUAAGUCUCCUGUCAAAUUCCAGAGCUUAACUCUGGACCGGCACGAGAAACUAGGAGGCUUGAGUACGGUAGGGGCCAGAGGAAUUUCCGGUGUAGCGGUGAAAUGCGUAGAGCUCGGAAAGAACACCAACGGCGAAAGCAUCUGGCUGGGCCGUUACUGACACUGAGGGACGAAAGCCAAGGGAGCAAAAAGGAUUAGAGACCCUUGUAGUCUUGGCUGUAAACGAUGGGUACUAGGUCUUUCGAAGUCAACCCAGCUUGCUGGGCGAUCUUUGGGGGAUCAAAGCUAACGCAUUAAGUACCCCGCCUGGGGAGUAUGCUCGCAAGGGUGAAACUCAAAGGAAUUGACGGGGGCCCGCACAAGCGGUGGAGCAUGUGGUUUAAUUCGAUGCAACGCGAAGAACCUUACCCGGACUUGACAUGUCACUCGGUUCGCCGAGGUGUCGGUGAAAGCCGCUUUAGAACACAAGUGGUGCAUGGCUGUCGUCAGCUCGUGUCGUGAGAUGUUGGGUUAAGUCCCGCAACGAGCGCAACCCUUUUCUUUUGUUGUCUUCAUGAGAUCGAAAGAGACUGCCGAUGACAAGUCGGA
rnacentral:rRNA from 1 species